rnacentral:rRNA from 1 species
CAGCUCCUACGGGAGGCAGCAGUAGGGAAUCUUCCACAAUGGGCGAAAGCCUGAUGGAGCAACGCCGCGUGGGUGAAGAAGGUCUUCGGAUCGUAAAACCCUGUUGUUAGAGAAGAAAGUGCGUGAGAGUAACUGUUCACGUUUCGACGGUAUCUAACCAGAAAGCCACGGCUAACUACGUGGCAGCAGCCGCGGUAAUACGUAGGUGGCAAGCGUUAUCCGGAUUUAUUGGGCAUAACGGGAACGCAGGCGGUCUUUUAAGUCUGAUGUGAAAGCCUUCGGCUUAACCGGUGU